UACGUAGGGGGCAAGCGUUGUCCGGAAUCAUUGGGCGUAAAGAGCGUGUAGGCGGCCAGAAAAGUCCGCUGUGAAAACUCGAGGCUCAACUUCGAGCUGUCGGUGGAAACUUUCUGGCUAGAGUCCGGAAGAGGAGAGUGGAAUUCCUGGUGUAGCGGUGAAAUGCGCAGAUAUCAGGAGGAACACCAAUUGCGAAGGCAGCUCGCUGGGACGUGACUGACGCUGAGACGCGAAAGCGUGGGGAGCGAACAGG
rnacentral:rRNA from 1 species